rnacentral:snRNA from 1 species
UUGCUUCAGUAGCACAUAUACUAAAAUUGGAGUGACACGGAGAUUAGCAUGGCCCCUGAGCAAGGAUGACACACAAAUUAUGAAGCAUUCCACAUUAGA